rnacentral:rRNA from 1 species
UACGAAGGGGGCUAGCGUUGUUCGGAAUUACUGGGCGUAAAGCGCGCGCAGGCGGCCAUUCAAGUCAGGGGUGAAAGCCCAGAGCUCAACUCUGGAACUGCCCUUGAAACUGUAUGGCUUGAGUAUGAGAGAGGUGAGUGGAAUUCCCAGUGUAGAGGUGAAAUUCGUAGAUAUUCGGAGGAACACCAGUGGCGAAGGCGGCUCACUGGUCCAUUACUGACGCUGAGGUGCGAAAGCGUGGGGAGCAAACAGG